UGGUGGAGCGAUUUGUCUGGUUAAUUCCGAUAACGAACGAGACUCUAGCCUAUUAAAUAGUUCACCUGUGCACGCAGGCAGGUGUCAACUUCUUAGAGGGACAAGUGGCGCUUAGCCACACGAGAUUGAGCAAUAACA
rnacentral:rRNA from 1 species